ensembl:snoRNA
AUCCUUUUCUGGUUCAUAAGCAUGAAGUGUUUACAUGGUUGUGUGAUAUGUGCCUUGAAAGCUGUUACACACUUGGCACAUUGCCCAUCUGACC